UACGUAGGGUGCAAGCGUUAUUCGGAAUUACUGGGCGUAAAGCGCGCGUAGGCGGUUUUGUAAGUCUGAUGUGAAAUCCCCGGGCUCAACCUGGGAAUUGCAUUGGAGACUGCAAGGCUAGAAUCUGGCAGAGGGGGGUAGAAUUCCACGUGUAGCAGUGAAAUGCGUAGAGAUGUGGAGGAACACCGAUGGCGAAGGCAGCCCCCUGGGUCAAGAUUGACGCUCAUGCACGAAAGCGUGGGGAGCAAACAGG
rnacentral:rRNA from 1 species